AGAGUUUGAUCAUGGCUCAGAGUGAACGCUGGCGGCAGGCCUAACACACGCAAGUCGAACGGCAGCACAGAGGAGCUUGCUCCUUGGGUGGCGAGUGGCGGACGGGUGAGGAAUGCGUCGGAAUCUGCCUAUUUGUGGGGGAUAACGUAGGGAAACUUACGCUAAUACCGCAUACGACCUACGGGUGAAAGUGGGGGACCGCAAGGCCUCACGCAGAUAGAUGAGCCGACGCCGGAUUAGCUAGUUGGCGGGGUAAAGGCCCACCAAGGCGACGAUCCGUAGCUGGUCUGAGAGGAUGAUCAGCCACACUGGAACUGAGACACGGCCAGACUCCUACGGGAGGCAGCAGUGGGGAAUAUUGGCCAAUGGGCGCAACCCUGAACCAGCCAUGCCGCGUGUGUGAAGAGCGCCAAUGGGUUGUAAACCGCUUUUAUCCGGAAAGAAAACCUUAGGGUUAAUAACCUUGAGUAAUGAUGGUACUGUAAGAAUAAGCUCCCGCUAACUUCCUGGCAGCAGCCGCGGUAAUACGAAGGGAGCCCGCGUUACUCCGAAUUACUGGGUUUAAGGGUGCGCGGCCUUUAAUACAGGGGAAACGGGGUCCCCCCUCCAGUGCCUUGUAAUUGGGGUGGUUACCUUAGGUAGCGAAUGGCCAGUUGCGUGAAUUCUAUAAAUGCCAGAAACAAAUUC
rnacentral:rRNA from 2 species